AGCUAAUAGAUACCCGGGUAGUCCACGCCCUAAACGAUGUCUACUAGUUGUUGGUGGAGUAAAAUCCAUGAGUAAACGCAGCUAAACGCGUGAAGUAGACCGCCUGGGGAGUACGGUCGCAAGAUUAAAACUCAAAGGAAUUGGCGGGGGCCCGCACAAGCGGUGGAUUAUGUGGAUUAAAUUCGAUGCAACGCGAAAAACCUUACCUGGCCUUGACAUGCCACUAACGAAGCAGAGAUGCAUUAGGUGCCCGUAAGGGAAAGUGGACACAGGUGCUGCAUGGCUGUCGUCAGCUCGUGUCGUGAGAUGUUGGGUUAAGUCCCGCAACGAGCGCAACCCUUGCCAUUAAUUGCCAUCAUUUAGUUGGGCACUUUAAUGGGACUGCCGGUGACAAACCGGAGGAAGGUGGGGAUGACGUCAAGUCCUCAUGGCCCGUUAUGGCCAGGG
rnacentral:rRNA from 1 species